CUGUGGUCCAACCCACUGCGCCACCACCGGCAGGAAUUUUGCAUGUGGACUAUAUAAGAUGUCUUUCUGCCACAAGAAGAGACUUACUGAGAGAGGAGCUGAAGAACGCUGUGUCCGAUUUUCCUGGAUGAACUGUAGCACAGUCCAGAAGUCCAGAAAGGGGAGGGCCGACUCUCUCGGUCUGUUUCACUCGGCUCGCGGUGAACCGGAGCCUAACCUGGCAACACAGG